UACCGGGGGGGCAAGCGUUGUUCGGAAUUACUGGGCGUAAAGGGAGCUUAGGCUGACUUUUAAGUCAGUGGUGAAAGCCUGGAGCUUAACUCCAGAAUUGCCAUUGAAACUGAGAGUCUCGAGUAUGGUUGAGGUUACUGGAAUGUUGCAUGUAGCGGUGAAAUGCUUAGAUAUGCAACAGAACACCAAUUGCGAAGGCAGGUAACUAAGCCAUAACUGACGCUGAGGCUCGAAAGCGUGGGGAGCAAACAGG
rnacentral:rRNA from 1 species